rnacentral:rRNA from 1 species
UACGGGGGGGGCAAGCGUUGUUCGGAAUUACUGGGCGUAAAGGGCUCGUAGGCGGCCAACUAAGUCAGACGUGAAAUCCCUCGGCUUAACCGGGGAACUGCGUCUGAUACUGGGUGGCUUGAAUCCGGGAGAGGGAUGCGGAAUUCCAGGUGUAGCGGUGAAAUGCGUAGAUAUCUAAAGGAACACCAAUGGCGAAGGCAGCUUACUGGGCCAUUACUGACACUGAGAUGCGAAAGUGUGGGGAGCAAACGGG